UACGUAGGGUGCGAGCGUUGUCCGGAAUUCUGGGCGUAAAGGGCUCGUAGGCGGCCAACUAAGUCAGACGUGAAAUCCCUCGGCUUAACCGGGGAACUGCGUCUGAUACUGGAUGGCUUGAAUCCGGGAGAGGGAUGCGGAAUUCCAGGUGUAGCGGUGAAAUGCGUAGAUAUCUGGAGGAACACCGGUGGCGAAGGCGGCAUCCUGGACCGGCAUUGACGCUGAGGAGCGAAAGCCAGGGGAGCAA
rnacentral:rRNA from 1 species